UACGUAGGGUGCAAGGCGUUGUCCGGAAUCAUUGGGCGUAAAGCGCGCGUAGGUGGCUUCGUAAGUCCGUUGUGAAAGUCAAAGGCUCAACCUUUGAAAGCCGAUGGAUACUGCGGAGCUAGAGUACGGAAGAGGCGAGUGGAAUUCCUGGUGUAGCGGUGGAAUGGCGCAGAUAUCAGGAGGAACACCAAUAGCGAAGGCAGCUCGCUGGGACGUUACUGACACUAAGGCGCGAAAGCGUGGGGAGCGAACAGG
rnacentral:rRNA from 1 species